rnacentral:rRNA from 1 species
GACGAACGCUGGCGGUGUGCUUAACACAUGCAAGUCGAACGGUAAGGCCCUUUCGGGGUUACCCGAGUGGCGCUCGGGUGAGUAACACGUGCGUAACCUGCCCUCCUCUCUGGGAUAACAUUCGGAAACGGUUUCUAAUACUGGAUAUGAGCUUGCAAGGCAUCUUGUGGGUUGGAAAGAUUUUUUUGGUUGGGGAUGGACUCGCGGCCUAUCAGCUUGUUGGUGAUGUAGUGGCUCACCAAGGCUUCGACGGGUAGCCGGCCUGAGAGGGGGACCGGCCACAUUGGGACUGAGAUACGGCCCAAACUCCUACGGGAGGCAGCAGGGGGGAAUAUUGCACAAUGGACGGAAGUCUGAUGCAGCAACGCCGCGGGCGGGAUGACGGACUUCGGGUUGGAAACCGAUUUAAAUUGUGACGAAGCUGUAUGUGACGGUAGCAGUAGAAGAAGCACCGGCUAACUACGUG